GAUCAGACAUGGCGUUUGCUUCGGCUUUCGCUGGGCCAGCAUCAGUUUUAGCGGUUGGAUAAAUCCUCGGGAAUGUGGCUCUGCUUCGGUAGAGUGUUAUAGCCCGUGGGAAUACAGCCAGCUGGGACUGAGGAUUGCGACUUUUGUCAAGGAUGCUGGCGUAAUGGUUAAAUGCCGCCCGUCUUGA
rnacentral:rRNA from 1 species